rnacentral:pre_miRNA from 1 species
AGAGAACUGAAAGUGGAGCCUGUCACAUCUCCAGACUGCAGUUUUAGUUUUCCUG